AAAACUUUCAACAACGGAUCUCUUGGUUCUGGCAUCGAUGAAGAACGCAGCGAAAUGCGAUAAGUAAUGUGAAUUGCAGAAUUCAGUGAAUCAUCAAAUCUUUGAACGCACAUUGCGCCCUUUGGCACUCCAAAGGGCAUGCCUGUCCGAGCGUCAUC
rnacentral:rRNA from 1 species